rnacentral:rRNA from 1 species
AUAUUUCUCAAUGGGGGAAACCCUGACGCAGCAACGCCGCGUGAGUGAAGAAGGUNUUNNGAUCGNANAACUCUGUCUUUGGGNNNNNAAAAUGACGGUACCCAAGGAGGAAGCCCCGGCUAACUACGUGCCAGCAGCCGCGGUAAUACGUAGGGGGCAAGCGUUGUCCGGAAUUAUUGGGCGUAAAGGGCGUGUAGGCGGUAGAUUAAGUCAGAUGUGAAAGUUAGGGGCUCAACCCCGAAAUAGCAUUUGAAACUGGUUUACUUGAGUACUGGAGAGGUAAGCGGAAUUCCUAGUGUAGCGGUGAAAUGCGUAGAUAUUAGGAGGAACACCAGUGGCGAAGGCGGCUUACUGGACAGAUACUGACGCUGAGGCGCGAAAGCGUGGGGAGCAAACAG